GGGGAAUAUUGCACAAUGGGCGCAAGCCUGAUGCAGCAACGCCGCGUGAGGGAUGACGGCCUUCGGGUUGUAAACCUCUUUUAGUAGGGAAGAAGCGAAAGUGACGGUACCUGCAGAAAAAGCACCGGCUAACUACGUGCCAGCAGCCGCGGUAAUACGUAGGGUGCAAGCGUUGUCCGGAAUUAUUGGGCGUAAAGAGCUCGUAGGCGGCUUGUCGCGUCUGCUGUGAAAACCCGGAGCUCAACUCCGGGCCUGCAGUGGGUACGGGCAGGCUAGAGUGCGGUAGGGGAGAUUGGAAUUCCUGGUGUAGCGGUGGAAUGCGCAGAUAUCAGGAGGAACACCGAUGGCGAAGGCAGAUCUCUGGGCCGUAACUGACGCUGAGGAGCGAAAGCAUGGGGGGCGAAC
rnacentral:rRNA from 1 species